UAAAGCCUUUAAUCUUGAGCAUUUAAAUGUGUGCAAAUAUAAUGCAAAUAUGAUAUGGACCUCUGUCUACACAGAGGAACAGCAGAGGAACACAACUGAAGACCCUUUUAUUUGGACGAGCUCUUAAUUGACUGAAUAUCCUUGACUUGCCAUUUUUUAAAUUUGCCUUGAGAAGAUGUCCAAGCAAAUCUACCCAAGAAGCCUGCUGAAGAUUUCCUGAUAAAAUGUGGCCACACAGGAUCACUAAAUCCACAUCCAUAAUCCUUUUCCUACUUUUUAUCAUGAUAAACAAGAAUUUAUCUGCUCCUGUGCUGAACAGCAGGUCAGACGAACACAUAGCAGAGCUCCAGCUGGUGUUUGACCCCGACCUCUUCAGACAGCAUGUUAGUCUUACUGAUGAUUACGGCGAAAAGCCCUUCCCUCCUCCUCUGCCUCCUGACACCGGAUCUCCUUAUCAGCCCAACCUGGAGGAGGAAUACUACUAACAGAAACGUCAGAUCAAGUCGAUUCAUCCAGUAAAGAGGAUUAGAUUACAGUACAAAAAAAAAGGCUAUAUACAUUCUGUUGCAUCUCUCCAUGUAUUUUGAGGACAAUAUUAAAAUU